rnacentral:lncRNA from 1 species
AGUUGUUCAGAUAGAAAAUGUCAUAGAAGGCAAGGAACAAACUCUUGAAGAAACUUCGGUAAAACGAAAUAUAGCUCACCACCAAGUUUAAAAAUCAAAAGGGAUACAGAAGAUCACCACCCUAAUGAUAAUAAACAAGGAUACAAAACUGAAAGCAAAAGACUCACCACUCAAGGACACAUCCAAGAGAUACAGAGUUCAAAAGAGCACUCCAAGAGAGCUUCUGCCAAUAU